rnacentral:misc_RNA from 1 species
GCAAACUUGGUCAUUUAGAGGAAGUAAAAGUCGUAACAAGGUCUCCGUUGGUGAACCAGCGGAGGGAUCAUUACUGAGUUAUCCAAAACUCCCAACCCUUUGUGAACUUACCACUGUUGCCUCGGCGAGUUGCGUUACCCUGGAGCUACCCUAUAGUGAGCUACCCUGUAACUAACUACCCUGUAGUCAGCUACCCUGUAACUACCCUAUAGCCGGUUACUCGGGAACGCGCUUUACGCUCGCCAGAGGGCCAUACAACUCUGUUUUAUUUUGUAUCUCUGAAUUAUACAACUGAAAUCAGUUAAAACUUUCAACAACGGAUCUCUUGGUUCUGGCAUCGAUGAAGAACGCAGC